GACAGAAGAGGCGCGUCUACCAGGCAGUCGGAUUGCGGAGCCCCAACUCCAAUGCCAUCUGAUCAGGGGGUAAGACGCCGAGGCGAGACCAGACCUUGGGGGGCUGGCUUGUCGGUCUGGGAGGUUGAAUCCUCCGGAUUGUCAUCUCAAUCGAGAUGGAGCGCUUCUGGA
rnacentral:ncRNA from 1 species